UCAUUUUAUUCUUAGUCAUAUAUAUUUUAUAGAAAUGAAAACAGUUUUAUUUUGCCCACAUAUUUAACAUUAUUUCUGCUCUUCAUUUCUUUCUGAACAUCUGAAUGUCCAUCUUAUUUUAUUUUAUUUUCACCUGAAGAAAUACCCUUAACAUGUUUUAAGAGAAGCUACUAAAAGAAUCCUUAUGUUUUAUUUAAUAUAAACUCAAUAUUGUUUAAGGUCUUAUGCUUAUAAUCAAGCAUUCUGCAAUUCAAUAAUUUAUUCAAUAUUUUAAUACUUUUCUGGCAGACUUCAUUUUAAUUGUUAUUAUAUUUUGCUAGUAAUUUUCCCACUAAUGUGAAAUGCAGUGCCAUUCAAUAUUUGUCUAUAUUCUUCAAAACAAAUGCAUAGGUGAACAUACAAAUUGCUAAUAAGAAGCUCCCAUAUUCCAUCUCUGUUAAUAUGCACUGCUUAUAUGAUUUACAAACUUGUAAUUGCAGCUGUUAACAAAGUCAUAAAUUGAUUACAUAAGUCAUGCAUAUUAGCAGAUACACCGUGUUAUACGUAUCAGAUAUUGUUCAUUUUAUUUUUUUGAUUAAAAAUUUUUCUUUCCACAGAGUGAAAAUAAUUUUUUGUUAAAUUUUGCCAAACCAUAUCCAUAACCAACCUAUGGUUGCAAUAAAACUGUUAUUUGACCAGCGGAGAUGCGUCCCAAUAAAUUAAUACUCCUAAUAAGUUCAUUGUCAUUAAACUGAUAUGUGAUUUGUCAUUCCACUAUUAUUAAAUUCUACAAAUUAUAUUAAUUAAGGUAAAAUCUCUUUUAGCCUUAACAUUAAUUGUAAAUUUAUGUGAUUUUAUUUUUGUAAUGGCUGUGUUUAAUAACUUGCUCACAAUGUUUCUGCAAAUUAAACUGUCAGGUUUUGUGAGCUAGUAAAAGCUAGGUCCACACUGCUGCAUGAGCCUUCGACUCUUUCUUUUUGCCAUUCUUUCAAUAUCUGCCCUGAA
rnacentral:lncRNA from 10 species